AACUGAUACUACCUGCGGGAACCUGCGGAGGGAUCAUUACUGAAGUGAUUUGGGGAUGUUGCUGGCCCUCUCUCAAGGGGGGGCACUGUGCACUCCUCGAAACAAUUCACAAUUUCCAUCACACCCCUUGUGCACACCUUGUAGGCACCCAAACCCACCUCCGGGUGGUGGGGUCCUAUGUAUUCCUUCAUCUCACACUCUGUUGAAUGGUGCCAUGGGACGCAUCUAAGGGAUUAUUUG
rnacentral:misc_RNA from 1 species